GGCGUCCGCAUUGUAAUCUCAAGAAGUGUUUUCCGCUUCGGACCAAGCCUAAGUCCCCUGGAAAGGGGCAUCAUAGAGGGUGAUAAUCCCGUACAUGGCUUGGAGCGCCCGAGGCUUUGUGAUACGCUUUCUAAGAGUCGAGUUGUUUGGGAAUGCAGCUCAAAAUGGGUGGUAAAUGCCAUCUAAGGCUAAAUAUUGGGGAGAGACCGAUAGCGAACAAGUACAGUGAUGGAAAGAUGAAAAGAACUUUGAAAAGAGAGUUAAACAGUACGUGAAAUUGCCAAAAGGGAAGGGUAGGAGGUCAGAGAUGCGGCCUGGGAUUCAGCCUUGCUUUUGCUUGGUGUUUUUCCCAGAUUGCAGGCCAACGUCGGUUUUGGGCACUGGAGAAGGGUAGGAGGAACGUGGCACCCCUCGGGGUGUGUUAUAGCCUCCUACUGGAUACAGCGACCGAGACCGAGGACAGCAGCGUACUCGCAAGAGCGGGCCUUCGGGCACCUUUACGCUUAGGGCGUUGGCAUAAUGGCCCUCUACCACCCGUCUUG
rnacentral:rRNA from 1 species